GGUUUCUUGUAAUUUAUUUGAGAUCUAACCUGCCCACUGAAUUAUAUUUUAAGGGCCGCAGUAUUUUGACUGUGCAAAGGUAGCAUAAUCAUUAGUCUUUUAAUUGAAGGCUGGAAUGAAUGGUUGGACGAAAUAAAAUCUGUUUCAUUCAUAUUAUAUUGAAUUUAUAUUUUAAGUAAGAAGACUUAAAUGUUAUUAAGGGACGAGAAGACCCUAUAGAGUUUAAUAUAUUUAAUUUUAACUAUGUUAUUAAUUAAUUAAUAGUUAUUUAUGAAUUUUAUUUGAUUGGGGUGAUUUGAAGAUAUAAUUAACUCUUUUUUAUAUUAAAUAAUUAUAAUUAGAUUUUUGAUCCAUUUUUAUUGAAUAUAAGAUUAAAUUACCUUAGGGAUAACAGCAUAAUUUUCUUUGAGAGUUCAUAUUGAGAAGAGAGAUUGUGACCUCGAUGUUGGAUUAAGAUAAAUAAUAGGUGAAGAAGUUUAUUAAUUAGGUCUGUUCGACCUUUAAAAUCUUACA
rnacentral:rRNA from 1 species